rnacentral:rRNA from 1 species
UUGCCUUAGUAACGGCGAGUGAAGCGGCAAAAGCUCAAAUUUGAAAUCUGGCGUCUUAUGGCGUCCGAGUUGUAAUCUGUAGAGGAGUGUUCGAGCAUGGCUUUGGCUUAAGUUCCUUGGAACAGGACGUCAUGGAGGGUGAGAAUCCCGUGUACGGCCUUUGACUUAUGCUUAUGUGAACUUCCUUCAACGAGUCGAGUUGUUUG